UUUCCUUGCACUUGGCUUAUCCAAUAAAUCAAUUGGACUUGAUCCAAUCAAGCCCAAACUAAAUCUAAUUAAAUCAUAUUCAAGUAGAUAUAAUCUCAGCCUAUUAUCUUAAUCAAAUUAAGUCAAUUAGCAAUCAAAUUGCUAAUCGAUCCUCCUGCAACACUUGCGCUAGGUUAAAUGUCAAUCAUAUUGAUCAUUUAAUCCUAGAAUGAUUCUUAAUCAUUAAUCAACCAUCCAAUC
rnacentral:lncRNA from 1 species